AUUCAUGGUCGUUCUGUGGCCGAUAGACAUGUGUCCCCUCAGCCCUCUGUGAUUGGCUAUGUUAAGUGGAAGGAUGUUCUUACGGGCCAAUGGAACAGCCCCGACCCCGUGCUGACAUGGGCGCGAGGAUCUGUAUGUGUUUUUCCCCAGGAUCGCACGGAACCGUUGUGGGUCCCUGAACGCCUGACAAGAAGAGUCUUGACAUCAACCGACCAGCAACAAGAGAUACCACAGCAAUCCCGUGAUGAGGAUCUUCACUCUGCUACGUGCUCUGGUUCUGGUGCUGGUGCCGAUGGCACAGACGACACCAAUGCAGUGGUGGGCAGUGGCACGG
rnacentral:lncRNA from 1 species